GAAUACCUCAUUACCUAUCAGCCAUCCCCUUUUUAUUCUCUAUCUCUUUCUUUAAUCUCAUCUUCAUUAGUGUCUGGUGCUCCCCCUUCCUUUUUCUUCAUCUUUGAUUCUUUGUGAGUCUGUGACUUUGGCUGACCCCCUCCCUCUUCCAUCAUCUUGAUGACUCUAUCCGAGCCCCCUGUUCCUUCAUCUUUGUGACUCUAUCCACCACCCCCCCUCUUACCCACUCCCCCCACCACAAGUCACAUAGUCUUUCUCUCUAAGUGUAGGUGUGCUUCUUCAGUUCUUUGUUGUUUUACAUCUCAUAUUCUAACUCUUUGUAUGUUGUUAAAUUAAUUUUCAUAAAAAAAAAAAAAAAGUUUUGUUUUCAACAUCGCAGUGUCUCAAGAAUAUUAGGGUUUCUCCAAAACUUGUCACUACGAAUAUGGAGUCGAAUACAACAGAAUCACCUUUAUCUAACUUUAUGGAGUAAAGGUAGUCAUGUAUAAAAUAACUGCAUGGUGGAAUGAAGUUCGCCAAUGCGUAAAGGAGCGUCUUGAGCUUAGCGGUCCAAACAACGAGAAAUGAACCAAAAAAUUCUCUAAGAGAUGCUGUUGAUGAAAAGGAUAUCAUAGUAGUCUAUCAUGGGAAUGAUUCAUGUUCUUGGAUGAAAGGAAUAUGAGAGACUAAUAAGUGAUUUUUGUUUAUGAAGUGAGACGAUGAGAGCCAUGUUUAUGAAAAUGAUUUCAUAUGUUGUAUAACCGAAAAGGUUUUCAAAAUUUAUCACUCACUAAAUUUUGACUUAUGUUUAAGUUUUCCUUUCCCCCAGGUUACCAGGUGUUAAACUCAAGUUGGGUUGAGUAAGGCGAGUUGCACGCAUUGAAGUUGAGCAAGGGUAUUCUAAAUUUUACUUUGUAGUUAAAGUUUUUAAGGAAUUUGUAAUAUGUAUAUUUGAAACAUGUAAUAUUAAGGAAUAAAAGAAGUCUUUGUUAUUAA